rnacentral:rRNA from 1 species
AAAUUGAAGAGUUUGAUCAUGGCUCAGAUUGAACGCUGGCGGCAGGCCUAACACAUGCAAGUCGAACGGUAACAGAAAGCAGCUUGCUGCUUUGCUGACGAGUGGCGGACGGGUGAGUAAUGUCUGGGAAACUGCCUGAUGGAGGGGGAUAACUACUGGAAACGGUAGCUAAUACCGCAUAAUGUCGAAAGACCAAAGAGGGGGACCUUCGGGCCUCUUG